GGCUCAGAUUGAACGCUGGCGGCAUGCCUUACACAUGCAAGUCGAACGGCAGCACGGGGGCAACCUGGUGGCGAGUGGCGAACGGGUGAGUAAUGCAUCGGAACGUGCCAUUGAGUGGGGGAUAACGUAGCGAAAGUUGCGCUAAUACCGCAUAUUCUGUGAGCAGGAAAGCAGGGGGACCGCAAGGCCUUGCGCUCUUUGAGCGGCCGAUGUCAGAUUAGCUAGUUGGUGAGGUAACGGCUUACCAAGGCGACGAUCUGUAGCGGGUCUGAGAGGAUGAUCCGCCACACUGGAACUGAGACACGGUCCAGACUCCUACGGGAGGCAGCAGUGGGGAAUUUUGGACAAUGGGCGCAAGCCUGAUCCAGCCAUGCCGCGUGAGUGAAGAAGGCCUUCGGGUUGUAAAGCUCUUUCGGCCGGGAAGAAAUCGCAUGGGUUAAUACCCUGUGUGGAUGACGGUACCGGAAUAAGAAGCACCGGCUAACUACGUG
rnacentral:rRNA from 1 species